UUGAGGAAAGCUUAGCAUCACUGGGUAGUAGAAAUAGAUAGAUUGUUGCUUUAUAUUCGUUUUUCUCUGUUUACUUAUGGUUUUGAGACCAAAUGAGACAAUUUGCUAGCAACUUGCAGAAAUAGUUCAUGGUUGCUACUGUGGUGAGUGGUCGUAUCAAGUAUUGGCUGGACCAGAUGCAAAAAGCGCGGUCCCUCAACAAGUAAUGGGGCGUCUGAAAAUCGCUGCUCCCUUUAAUCCGACGGUCAGUAUAUUCUGUUGAAUUAACACUGAUUUUUCUUGUUUAUUUGUGGCCCUUUGAUAUCUACUAUGAUCUUUUUAAUCAUGCAAUACGGACUAGUUAAUGGGAAGAAUGUGGUUAUAUGUGUGUCUUUAUUUGUGAAAAAUGUGGGGUAAAGGAGAAAUGAUAUUGACAGGUGAACCAAUAUGCUUUUCAGUAUUUGGCACUCUAUGGAUAAUGAAUUAUAUGUGAACAAUAUUAUUUGCUUGCACUUGAAGUUUAAUCAAAUGUCUAAUGCAUGAUUAA